rnacentral:rRNA from 1 species
GCGCACCAGUCGAGAAUACUUUACAAUGUGCGAAAGCACGAUAAGGGAACUCUGAGUGCCUCCUAAGGAGGCUGUUCAGGUGUCUAAAAGCACCUGAAGGAAGGGCUGGGUAAGACCGGUGCCAGCCGCCGCGGUAACACCGGCAGCCCAAGUGGUAGCCACGUUUAUUGGGUCUAAAGCGUCCGUAGCCGGCUGGGUAAGUUCCUUGGGAAAUUUGGCUGCUUAACAGUCAAGCUUUCAGGGAAUACUGCCCGGCUUGGGACCGGGAGAGGUCAGAGGUACUCCAGGGGUAGGGGUGAAAUCCAUUAAUCCUUGGGGGACCACCGGUAGCGAAGGCGUCUGACCAGACCGGGCCCGACGGUGAGGGACGAAGGCUA